rnacentral:lncRNA from 1 species
CCCUCACUACAACCCUUUAUCGAUUUUGUCUCUCAUUUGCAUUUGCGCUUAAGAACUUCUGAGGUACAGUCGUCUCUACUUCGUCGUGGUAUGUAUCAUUGACUUCUUUGCCCAAUUGCACCACGUCACCAAUGACUGGUUGAUUCUGUGUUGGCUAAACCAUAUGAAACAGAAAAAGGAUACGGAAAACCUAGCCCUAGCCUGGGCUGCAAAAUUUGCCACAACAGGUACGAUUUUUUGUAAAAAUUUUUGUUUGUUAUGUGUUGGUGAAGGUGAUGGAUGACUCUCCAUUGCUAUUGAACGAAGGUCAAAAUGUGUUUAAGAUUCAUUAUCACCGCAUCUGUGAAAGCUAUUUGGUGUUAAGAACAAUUACAACGUUGUUGUUUGGCUGAUAUAUGUUUGGUAGCGGUGCAGCUUGUUGCCCGUUUACCUACUAUCUCGAGCUGGUGUGGCUGAUAAUCGCAAUAACAAAGUGGAUUAAUUAGCAUAUAUGAUUUUCGUUGUCAACAAUAACAGGUGUAUAGGUCAAAUAGGUACUCUCUGUCGACUAUCCAAGACCAGAGCUUGACAACACAUCUGCUUGACAACACAUCUGAUUUCUUUGAGGCUACUUACUUGUCUUAACUUUUGCAUUGUAUUUGCUGGUGCAGGUUGAGCCGCAAGAUGCUAAGGUGGGUUGUGAAUUAGUAUAUGUGAAUCUUUGGCCAAUAUUCAGUUGAAGUGCUGUCAUUGGAAUCUUUUGAAUAUGGCAAUAGUAAUAGAGGAAGAUGACAUGGAUUCUAUGGCUCAUAGAUUACUUUAUGCAACAGUAAAGUGAUUUAGCAAAUUCUAUAGAAAAAGAAAGAAAAAGAAAAAGAAAUCAAUGGAUAUCAGCGAGAAAGAUAUUGAUGUAGAGUAUAUGCCUGGUUUUAAUGUUGAUGUUGAGCAAGAUUAUCAAGAAACUACUACAAAAAUCUCUAAAAAGGUUGGAGAUAAAGUUUUCCUCAAAACCAUUCUAAACUCUACCAAGACUCUAGCAAGAGGAAGGGUCCAGAGCUUGGACCCAAAUGAUCUAGUUGGUGGU